ACCGUGGGUAAUACCGGAUACUCCGGAACGGCCGCAUGGCCGGCCCGGGAAAGCCCAGACGGGAGGGGAUGGGCCCGCGGCCUGUUAGCUAGUCGGCGGGGUAACGGCCCACCGAGGCGAUUAUGGGUAGCCGGGUUGAGAGACCGACCGGCCAGAUUGGGACUGAGACACGGCCCAGACUCCUACGGGAGGCAGCAGUGGGGAAUCUUGCGCAAUGGGCGGAAGCCUGACGCAGCGACGCCGCGUGCGGGACGAAGGCCUUCGGGUCGUAAACCGCUUUCAGCAGGGACGAGGCCCUCACGGUGACGGUACCUGCAGAAGAAGCCCCGGCUAACUACGUGCCAGCAGCCGCGGUAAUACGUAGGGGGCGAGCGUUAUCCGGAUUCAUUGGGCGUAAAGCGCGCGUAGGCGGCCUGUUAGGUCGGGGGUCAAAUACCGGGGCUCAACCCCGGUCCGCCCCCGAUACCGGCAGGCUUGAGUCUGGUAGGGGAAGGCGGAAUUCCCAGUGUAGCGGUGGAAUGCGCAGAUAUUGGGAAGAACACCGGCGGCGAAGGCGGCCUUCUGGGCCACGACUGACGCUGAGGCGCGAAAGCUAGGGGAGCGAACAGGAUUAGAUACCCUGGUAGUCCUAGCCGUAAACGAAAAGGCUAGGUGUGGGGG
rnacentral:rRNA from 1 species